GUGCAAACUGGGGUGGGGGGGAGAUUCCAUCCCUGGUGGUCCAGUGGCUUGGCAAAAAUUCUUGUACCAGCCUUUAUAAAUACAUAUAUGCAGAGUUUAUUGUAUGUGACUGGGUGGGUAAGUGCAACUAGUUUGGGGAAUAAUUAGAUAAGUGAGACAGGGUUGUGAGAGGAUUGUGUUUGUGUGUAGGGGAGGCUGCUUGUGGUGUUGCAGGUUAUUGGGGACACUACUAGUAUGGCUGCUUGAGGUGUAUGCAAGGCCAUCAGAAAUGUUGGGGCCCCUAACACUGCUCAAGGUCUGGGCCCCGCCUCCAAAUCCCACCCACAGGAAUACACAGACACAAACACGCACUGGUACAAAAAGGACACAGAUACACACACACACACACACAUACUGAAACAGACAGACAUAUACAUACACACAUACAGAUACAUAGAUACAGACAUAUAUACACAUACUGACAUACAAACAAACGUAGCUAAUUUCUCUCACUUUUUUUUUUGCAGGAGGGUGGCUGGAGCUGAUGGGAGUCAGCGUGGCUCUCCCGUCCUCACGGCCUGGUUGUGUCUCUUCCCUACCGCGUGGUGGGAGCUGGCAGGAAGGGACCGGUCGUCACUUCCUCCCAGCAUUACUUGCGGAUGCAAUAUUUUUUAUUUAUUUUUUUUAAAAGGGGACCGGUUGCGCUAUUGCACGGCCGCAGCGCUGACUGGGCCCCUGAAGAUAUAGGGCCACCCGAUGGGCC